rnacentral:rRNA from 1 species
GACAGAGGCCUCGAGCGUUAGGCGGAAUCACUGGGCUUAAAGCGUGUGUAGGCGGGCCCGUAAGUGUCUUGUGAAAUCCCACGGCUCAACCGUGGAACUGCUGGGCAUACUGCGGGUCUUGGGCCAACUAGGGGCAGCCGGAACAAGCGGUGGAGCGGUGAAAUGCGUAGAUAUCGCUUGGAACGCCGAAGGUGAAAACGAGGCUGCUGGG